rnacentral:rRNA from 1 species
UACGUAGGGAGCAAGCGUUGUCCGGAAUCAUUGGGCGUAAAGAGCGCGUAGGCGACCGUGUAAGUCCGUUCUGAAAGUCGGAGGCUCAACCUCCGAAAGCGGAUGGAUACUGCACGGAUAGAGUCCGGAAGAGGCGAGUGGAAUUUCGGGUGUAGCGGUGGAAUGCGCAGAUAUCAGGAGGAACACCAAAGGCGAAGGCAGCUCGCUGGGACGGUACUGCCGCUGAGGCGAGAAAGCGUGGGGAGCAAACAGG